rnacentral:other from 1 species
UAACCCCUGCGGUGUUCGUAUGGAAAUGAUGAAUUGAAAAAACCGAUACCCAUAACUUUGGGAAAUCAGACCUUGAUGGUUUCGAAAAAGCCUACUCGAGAUAGGAAUUUCGGACACAAGCAACGAUUGCCCACCUGGACAUAAUGGGUUUCUUCAAGCUUUUCUUACGGCACCAGCGGAGGCCAA